UGGGAGUGGGCGUGGCCUGUGACGUUCAUUGUAAAAUAACGCGCUAACUGACAAACAAACAAACAAACAAACCGAAGUGAUAGACUGAAAACAGCCAUCGUGGCGAGAGUAACUACAACUCAAACCAAAGUGGCUGAAAGCCCAUGUGAGAUUUAACCGCUGAUUCAUUCAUCAGGGCCCACCUGUUCACAGCAGGAGGAAGCGCGUGUCAUCCAGGUGACAGGUUUUCCCAUCUACCUUGCUGACAAGGCCGAGCGUCUUUGUCCAUCGUCCGAGUGGGGGUUUUGUGUCCGGCGGUGAAACCUUCAGGCUGUCGGAGGAGAAUGUCGAGGUUAAGGCUGCGCAGUGAAGCACUGUACCUGAGUCCUCUGCAUCCUGAUCCUCAAUGAGACCCUCGGGAACUCCCAUCUCCAUGCAUUUCUUACUGUGAGCCUUGGAUUUCAUAUGCUUGGUCAGAUUUCCUGCAAGAAGAGAAGCAUUAAGGUCUUAUGGGUGGGUAGCGCUUGAACAAUAGCACAGAAGGAGUUUAUGUAAGAAAAUGUGGUCUCUGGGCGAACUGUAUGUAAAGAGUGAGUAACUGAUAAAGACAUUUUUAAAUGAACGUGGGCUGCUCUGACACCAAGUACUGUUCUGCAGUGUGGCGUGGGUAGGCAAGUUCGAUAGAGAAUGGUGAAUCAUACUGACUUGGUUUAAGAGAUGGUGAAACAACAUCUUUAAUUUCAUGGCUGCUGAAAGAAAGAAAUGAACUGCAGCAGUUCAAGGCUUUUACGUUAAAAAUAUAUUGUCUGUCUGUCUAUAUUAAUUUGAUUUUGAGAGAUCCAUUGUUGUUUUACAUCUCGAUCAUUACAUGAACUUUAUUUAUGUGAGCUGAGAAUAUAUUCCUGAUUAUUUUUUAUAUUUAUAUUUUUUCAAGUUCAUAUGAUCUUCUAUAAUAGCACACUAUUAUAUAUUUCACUAAGCACUGAGACUCACACACAAUAUAAAAUAAAGAAGAUUAAUCAGAAACUUCUUGGUUGAUGGGAAAAUGUUUGUUUGAUAGUAAACUUUAUUUCGGUUUUUUCACAACUUGUAGAUAAAAAACAAAUAUAUGUACUCAAAUGAGGACGUAUUAGCUUUAGACUUGCGGCUUUGAAAACUUAUCAGCUACUAACCUUUCGUCUUAAAGGAGAAGUUGCAGUGGACACAGUGGUAUGGCCGG